rnacentral:tRNA from 1 species
AAGGUUUUAAGUUAAAAAAACUAGUAACCUUCAAAGUUUCUAAUAGGAGAAAGCUCUCUUAAACCUUA